UACAGAGGUGGCAAGCGUUGUUCGGAAUUACUGGGCGUAAAGGGCGCGUAGGCGGCCAUCUAAGUCAGACGUGAAAUCCCUCAGCUUAACUGGGGAACUGCGUCUGAUACUGGAUGGCUUGGAUUCGGGAGAGGAAUGCGGAAUUCCAGGUGUAGCGGUGAAAUGCGUAGAUAUCUGGAGGAACACCGGUGGCGAAGGCGGCAUUCUGGACCGACAUUGACGCUGAGGAGCGAAAGCCAGGGGAGCAAA
rnacentral:rRNA from 1 species